rnacentral:lncRNA from 1 species
GGGUGCCACUGUAAGGUCUCAUGAAGAAGAAAGAGAAAAGAAGAACUUACUUUCUGCAAAAUUCUAGUCUUGAAAUUCUAAGAUUUAUUGUAUAUGAUACAAGUUGUAAAGAAAAGUAAUAACAUCUAAUCUUAAUAAUUAAAAUUAUUUUAAUUUAAAAUUAUAAAAAUUUAGAUGUGAUCUAAAAAAUUUUAUGAUUUAAUGUAAAAAGUUUACAUAAGAAAUAGUUUCAAAACUUAACCUAAACCCAUAUUGAUGCUGAAACUUAAUUAAGAAUUAAGUAUAGAAUUGAUUAGAACUAGAAUU